CUUCCCCUACUAGAUCUCCACCUGAUGCCUCCCCGAAUGGCAUCCACCAGGCAAUCCACGACCUCUGCGGCCAGAUCUCAGUGAUCUCCAUAAGACCCGGCCUCGUCUCUAGCCUCCCAGGCUCCUCCUCCUUCGAUAAUGGCGGUCGACAGAUUCAUCCGAUGCCAGCCUGAAGGUAGAAAGGAUCGACCGAGGGCUCUGCCACAACGAGAGCCGCCAAGGA
rnacentral:lncRNA from 1 species